GGGGUCGACAUUGGAUUUGACAGCGGUAGCAUUGGUCAAGUGUCAGCAUGCAGAGGUUUGUGGUGAGCCUCUUUAAAAAUUUGUCACAAACUAUAAUUGACAAUACGUCAUACGCACUUGCUGCUUAAUUAACGGAAUGUUAGUUGGCUUAAUUCGACUGAAGCACAGUAGGUUGAACAAGUACUUCCGGCAGGCUUCGGCCCGUUAGGCUCGCCAUUAGGAAGUCCAACCCAUCGGGCUGGUGCUCACGACGGUACUAAGUGAGCAUAAGACACUAGUAUCUAAGUUAAAGUUUUGGGGGUCUCUGUCCGAGCUUUAAUCGAAAAACAAUCAGAAACUAAGCAUGUAGAAAGCUUGAAGAAUCGUCGUUUGGACGAGGGUUCGAACCCCUCCGACUCCACAU
rnacentral:tmRNA from 1 species